ACGGGAGGCAGCAGUGGGGAAUAUUGGGCAAUGGGCGAAAGCCUGACCCAGCGACGCCGCGUGAAGGAAGAAGGUCUUCGGAUUGUAAACUUCUUUUAUGAGGGACGAAGGACGUGACGGUACCUCAUGAAUAAGCCACGGCUAACUACGUGCCAGCAGCCGCGGUAAUAAGUAGGUGGCAAGCGUUAUCCGGAUUUACUGGGUGUAAAGGGCGCGUAGGCGGGGAUGCAAGUCAGAUGUGAAAUCUAUGGGCUUAACUCAUAAACUGCAUUUGAAACUGUAUUGCUUGAGUGCUGGAGAGGUAGAUGGAAUUCCUUGUGUAGCGGUGAAAUGCGUAGAUAUAAGGAAGAACACCAGUGGCGAAGGCGAUCUACUGGACAGUAACUGACGCUGAGGCGCGAAAGCGUGGGGAGCAAACAGGAUUAGAUACCCUGGUA
rnacentral:rRNA from 1 species